UACAGAUGGUGGGAAGAACAGGGUACUAUGGCAUCUGCUGUGGAAAGAAGAUAGAUCUAGGUGAUGGUUAAGUCUAAGACAAAGGAGGAGUAAAAUCAUCAAGGAAAGCAGGAGAGAGGGAAGGAAGUGGAAAGCAGACAAAAAAAAAAAAAUAACAGCAGCUGUAGAAGCCUGAGAAGAUGAGAGAGUCAAGUCCUUAGAGGGACUGAAAGCAGAGACAUAACAGCACAAAACGAGAUGGGAAAGUGACGGAGCAACACAUGAGUCUGUAAUGAGUGGGAUUUAGGUGGGCAGCAGCACUUGGUUAUUUACAAGUUCAGGAUCCUCUUUAUAAAGCAAGGAAAGAUUGCUAUCUGUCUCCAGCACUAUGGCGAGAUAAUUAAUAGGAGCACUGCUGGAGACUGAUAGUGCAGGCGGCCGAUACCCGUGGCAGGAGCUCUCGUCAUCUAACUGCCACAGAAUUGUGAAGGUAAAGAAUCUGCAGAAAAGUGGAACAUUCAUUUUUACUAAAUAAAUGCAUUAUCUAUAGCACACAUUAUAGAGUUUUGUUGUUGUUGUUGUUAAUCUAGCAUGUAACAGAAAUAAAAGAGAUUGUUUCUAAACCACUUUAAA